rnacentral:rRNA from 1 species
AUGAACGCUAGCUACAGGCUUAACACAUGCAAGUCGAGGGGCAGCAUGGUCUUAGCUUGCUAAGGCCGAUGGCGACCGGCGCACGGGUGAGUAACACGUAUCCAACCUGCCGUCUACUCUUGGACAGCCUUCUGAAAGGAAGAUUAAUACAAGAUGGCAUCAUGAGUCCGCAUGUUCACAUGAUUAAAGGUAUUCCGGUAGACGAUGGGGAUGCGUUCCAUUAGAUAGUAGGCGGGGUAACGGCCCACCUAGUCUUCGAUGGAUAGGGGUUCUGAGAGGAAGGUCCCCCACAUUGGAACUGAGACACGGUCCAAACUCCUACGGGAGGCAGCAGUGAGGAAUAUUGGUCAAUGGGCGAGAGCCUGAACCAGCCAAGUAGCGUGAAGGAUGACUGCCCUAUGGGUUGUAAACUUCUUUUAUAAAGGAAUAAAGUCGGGUAUGGAUACCCGUUUGCAUGUACUUUAUGAAUAAGGAUCGGCUAACUCCGUGCCAGCAGCCGCGGUAAUACGGAGGAUCCGAGCGUUAUCCGGAUUUAUUGGGUUUAAAGGGAGCGUAGAUGGAUGUUUAAGUCAGUUGUGAAAGUUUGCGGCUCAACCGUAAAAUUGCAGUUGAUACUGGAUAUCUUGAGUGCAGUUGAGGCAGGCGGAAUUCGUGGUGUAGCGGUGAAAUGCUUAGAUAUCACGAAGAACUCCGAUUGCGAAGGCAGCCUGCUAAGCUGCAACUGACAUUGAGGCUCGAAAGUGUGGGUAUCAAACAGGAUUAGAUACCCUGGUAGUCCACACGGUAAACGAUGAAUACUCGCUGUUUGCGAUAUACUGCAAGCGGCCAAGCGAAAGCGUUAAGUAUUCCACCUGGGGAGUACGCCGGCAACGGUGAAACUCAAAGGAAUUGACGGGGGCCCGCACAAGCGGAGGAACAUGUGGUUUAAUUCGAUGAUACGCGAGGAACCUUACCCGGGCUUAAAUUGCAGAUGAAUUACGGUGAAAGCCGUAAGCCGCAAGGCAUCUGUGAAGGUGCUGCAUGGUUGUCGUCAGCUCGUGCCGUGAGGUGUCGGCUUAAGUGCCAUAACGAGCGCAACCCUUGUUGUCAGUUACUAACAGGUUCCGCUGAGGACUCUGACAAGACUGCCAUCGUAAGAUGUGAGGAAGGUGGUGAUGACGGCAAAUCAGCACGGCCCUUACGUCCGGGGCUACACACGUGUUACAAUGGGGGGUACAGAGGGCCGCUACCACGCGAGUGGAUGCCAAUCCCCAAAACCUCUCUCAGUUCGGACUGGAGUCUGCAACCCGACUCCACGAAGCUGGAUUCGCUAGUAAUCGCGCAUCAGCCACGGCGCGGUGAAUACGUUCCCGGGCCUUGUACACACCGCCCGUCAAGCCAUGAAAGCCGGGGGUACCUGAAGUGCGUAACCGCGAGGAGCGCCCUAGGGUAAAACUGGUGACUGGGGCU